ensembl:snRNA U6 U6 spliceosomal RNA
GUGCUUACUUCCUCAGUACAUAAAAUUAAAGCAAUACAGAGAAGAUUAGCUUGGCCGCUGCCCAAGGAUGACACGCAAAUUCACAAAGCAUUCCAUAUUUUC